UGGUAAGAACAAAAACUCCAGGGAUUAGAACGUGCACCUACAACAUGAAUGGAGGAAGCAAAGUACCACCACCACCACCGCUGCUGCCCCCUGCCCCAGCCAAUACCUGUGAACUAUACUUCAUCUAUAUUUAAGAAUAGAUUAAGUCUUCAAAAGGGAGCCUGGGCUGGCUCAGGUAGGGAAAUACAGAUACUAAAGUGAAUAUGGACAGUGUCACAGCUGUUGGGAGUUAGAAAGUAGCUUCACUGGCUAGACCGCCCUAGUGAGAUAACUAUAGCCAAUGCUGAAGGGUGUUUGGUCCCACUACAAAAAUACCCUUGGAGUUCCCGUCAUGGCUCAGUGGUCAACAAAUCCGACUAGGAACCAUGAGGUUGCGGGUUUGAUCCCUGGCCUUGCUCAGUGGGUUGAGGAUCCGGCGUUCCCAUGAGCUGUGGUGUAGGCCGCAGACGCGGCUCGGAUCCUGCAUAGCUGUGGCUAUGGUAUAGGCUGGCGAAUGCAGUUCCGAUUAGACCCCUAGCCUGGGAAUCUGCAUAUGCCAUGGGGGCGGCCAUAGAAAAGACACAAAGACAAAAAAAAAAAAAAAAAGGAAAGAAAGAAAGAAAGAAAGAAAGAUACCCUUCUCCUGAGAUGAACAGAGCAGCAGGCUUGGUACUCCUGAACCCACUUCCUUAUUCUGGCUCCUUGCUCACUGAGCAAUUACUCAAGUCCCUAUAAAGCGUUUCUUGAGGACACUUGGGUGCUAUGACCCAUGCACUACCAGCAUCCAGAGAGCAGCAAUUUCUCAAGGUGAAUCAAUCAACAGAGGAGCUUCCAAGUAUUAUCUACAUUCCCAGGUAGCUUGACAAAGAGCACGUGCUAAUCGCAGGGGCCUGAGGAUCUAUCAGUGAUGAUUCAUUGUGAAUUAUUAGCAAGUCGGUAUAACGGUGCCAGCUCUGGCUCAGAUGUCACUUAGUUCUCCGAGUCUGUGUGACCCAGCCCUAGGCACAGACCUGAAGCCAUCUCUGGGCUUGAGGGCCUGAAGGUGGUGAGCGCAUGGACAGCAAGCCUGACAGCGUGGCUUACAUACCACUUCUACCUUAGCUUCUUUUCAACUGAUUUCCCCAGCCUUUACAGGACAAUGGAGCCAAAGCACUGGCUGCUUCAGGAGGGAGUUACAUUUGCAACCAUGUGCGUGCAGACAAUGAAAAUCAGCAGCAGAUUUAAUGAAAUAAGCUAAAAUCCAGAGCAGGAGUUCCCACUGUGGUGCAGUGGGUUAAGAACCUGACUGCAGUGGCUUGGGUCACCACAGAGACUAGGGUUUGAUCCCCAGCCCAGUAGAGCAGGUUAAAGGAUCUGGGGUUGCUACAGCUGCAGCGUAAAUCACAGUUGUGGCUCAGAUUCAAUCCCUGGCCCAGAAAACUUCCAUAUGCCAUGAGUGCAGCCAUAAAAAAUAAAUUAAAUAAACAAAACCCAGAGCAGAGUCAAAAAGAGCAACAGCCAAGGACUCAUAGUCCUAAUUAGUGACCUGCUCAGCUGCCAUCAUCAGGUGCAAUGAAGUUUAUGUAAGGUUUCUGUAAAAAUCUCAAUUGUGGAAGUUCCUGUUGUGGCUCAGAGGUAACAAAACUGACUAGUAUCCAUGAGGAUGUGGGUUAGAUCCCUGGCCUCACUCAAUAGGUUAAGGAUCCAGUGUUGCCGUGAGCUGUGGUGUAGGUUGCAGAUGCAGCUCAGAUCUGAUGUUGCUGUGGCUGUGGUGUAGGCCGGCAAUUGUAGCUCUGAUUUGACCCCCAGCCAAGGGAACUUCCAUAUGCUGCAGGUGGGGCCCUAAAAAGCAAAAAAAACAAAAACAAAAACAAAAAAAACCUCAAUUGUGGUAAAGGGUCAGUGACGUCCACAAAAUGCUAGCUCUUUUGCCCUAUUAAGCUUAAAUACAAAGGCUCAGUACCAAAAUCUGAAACGCUUUAGCCACAGAAAUAUGACAAUGUAUUUUGCUUAGUAAUAUGCCUGGAGUAAAAUGAAAGAGAGGGCACCAGAAGGUCAGUGCCUGCUUCCCUAAAUCAUGCCAGGAUAUGGGAAGCCAAAGGGCCCCAGACCAAGGAGGAAAAGCCAAGCACACUGCAAAGGAGCGGGAGUAUUAAGCACCUCCUUUCCUGUUCACUGUCACAUGGUCUGAUUUCCUUCUUCUGUUUCAGAACUUCUAACCUCUAGGUCGCACUCCUACUCCCAGAAGAACCGAUGAGUAAGUGAGCUGCUCGUUCCCAAGGAAAACUCUUACUUUCACAUUUGCAGUGUGUUUCAUUGGAAAUGCUGUGUUUGGUGCCACAACCCAACUAAGAAUUAAACAUUACAUGCUCAUUGGUAAAUUAUCAAAAUGUAAACCAACAGCUAUGGCAGAGAUCAUCUGAACUGCCAAGAAUUCUAACACUACGAUUCUGGUGAAAAAGAACAUUUCCCCUUCUGUUUAGACUUUGGGUAGGUUUGCCCUUGACUACAAUGUGUUCACAUGUGCGUUAUUUCUACCCAUCAUCAUUUUGGUAGUGGUUUUGUUUCCAUGACCACUACAUUUCCUGGGGGCCAUGUACUAAUUUCCCAUCACAUUUAACAUAAUGCCUUGCACACAAUGAGUAUUCAAUAAACAUUUGUUGAGGAGCUAACCUCACAGUAUCAAUUCCCAUGAACAGAAAUCCGUACUCUCAAGUGAAUUUCUGACAUAAGCAAAAUGCAACAGAAAAUGUUAAUGUUUUACAGAUCUUCUUAUAGAGAAAAUUAUUAAAUAUUUAUUAAGCAUUUUUAUACCAAAAACUCCCGAGGGCAGAGUAAACAUGAAUAUUUUUCU
rnacentral:lncRNA from 1 species